CACCUGCAAAUAGACCAGUGCAGGCAUUGAACAUCUGGGGCAAGACUAGCGUCUCCCAGCAGAUUAGUCUGCAUAUCAAGAACAACUAGACCUUAUAAAAGUCACAACAGAGCAGAGGGAUGGUCACCUGUAAAUGCACACUUUCUAGUAUUUUCUCAAAUUAGAGCAUCUGAGGGUAUCUUCAGAGAAAUCAAAUGCACCAAGACAAAAACGUAUGACCUGAAACUGGUCCCGAGGAAACAUCAGAUGGACCACGUUGAGCAUCACACUGCAGAAUGUAGGGCUGCAUUCUUCCAAACUGUUGGGACGAUGAAAGUCAGGGAAAGACUGAGGAAAUGCUCCAAACUGGGGCAGACUGCAAAGAUGUGACAAUUAAAUGCAAUGUGUAACUCGGGGUUUCUGC
rnacentral:lncRNA from 10 species